AUGCUCACUUUGGCAGCACAUAUACUAAAAUCGGAAUGGUACAGAGAUUAGCACAACCCCUGUGUAAGGUUGACACAAAAAUUUGUGAAGCCUUCCCCACAACA